rnacentral:sRNA from 2 species
GCCAGCGAAAUCCAAAAAAGAAAUUUACAAACAGCUGUGAUUGGGCUAAUAAUUCAAACCCCGAGAGGAUAUCCCAGAGAAUCACCAUUGUCGCAACCCACGAUGGAAAAAAAUUGGUGAGAGAUCAGCCCUUCCACAACGUCAACAAGCCAGCCUGAUGGUUUAGUAGAUCAUCGAGGUGUGCGCUCAUCGAGCAAAUCACGAAAAUUUAACUUCAACGUCAAUUCGGUGCUUCAGGGCCGUUUAUGCAGAAGGAGAAUAAUCGAUGGGGAUUUGAGAAAGAUAACGGGCAUGGUGUGAGAUUAGCUUGAGCCCCGAGGCGUUAAUGGGAACUUGGGAAGUCUCCACUUAUCGUCUCGAACUUGCCCCUUAGUUGAUUCCUCUGGUGUCAGACUAAGCAUUGGUCCCAAGAUCGCCAGAAAACGUUAUCAUGGUUAUGACCAAAGCUCGUUGCAACCAAGACAGCGGCUGGCCGGUGGGCACGGGGCAGUGACGUGAGAGUGGAGAAUCAGGAUGAGCCGGGGUGCAGACACUGAGCUGUAUUUUAUUUUUUCCAGGGUAUCCCCAUAAUUGAGUUGGCAA